GAUGAAGAACGUAGCGAAAUGCGAUAAGUAAUGUGAAUUGCAGAAUUCAGUGAAUCAUCGAAUCUUUGAACGCACAUUGCGCCCGCCAGUAUUCUGGCGGGCAUGCCUGUCCGAGCGUCAUUUCAACCCUCGAACCCCUCCGGGGGGUCGGCGUUGGGGAUCGGCCCUGCCUCUUGGCGGUGGCCGUCUCCGAAAUACAGUGGCGGUCUCGCCGCAGCCUCUCCUGCGCAGUAGUUUGCACACUCGCAUCGGGAGCGCGGCGCGUCCACAGCCGUUAAACACCCAACUUCUGAAAUGUUGACCUCGGAGCAGGUAGGAAUACCCGCUGAACUUAAGCAUAUCAAUAAGCGGAGA
rnacentral:misc_RNA from 1 species